CCCUUAGAUGUCCGGGGCUGCACGCGCGCUACACUGAAGGAAUCAGCGUGCUAAAACCAUUGUCGAAAGGCAUUGGUAAACCCAUUAAAAUCCUACGUGAUUGGGAUCGGGAAUUGCAAUUAUUUCCCUUGAACGAGGAAUUCCCAGUAAGUGUGGGUCAUAAGCUCGCGUUGAUUACGUCCCUGCCCUUUGUACACACCGCCCGUCGCUGCCCGGGACUGAGCCGUUUCGAGAAAAGCGGGGACUGCUGCUGCCGGGGCUUUCGGGCCUUGGCUUCGGUGGAAACCGCUUUAAUCGCAGUGGCUUGAACCGGGCAAAAGUCGUAACA
rnacentral:rRNA from 1 species